rnacentral:rRNA from 1 species
AGAGUUUGAUCCUGGCUCAGAACGAACGCUGGCGGCAGGCUUAACACAUGCAAGUCGAACGCGUGUAGCAAUACACGAGUGGCGCACGGGUGAGUAACGCGUGGAUAUCUGCCUUUUGGUUCGGAAUAACCCCGGGAAACUGGGGCUAAUACCGGAUGGUUCCUUCGGGAUAAAGAUUUAUCGCCAAAAGAUGAGUCCGCGUACGAUUAGCUAGUUGGUGAGGUAAUGGCUCACCAAGGCGACGAUCGUUAGCUGGUCUGAGAGGACGAUCAGCCACACUGGGACUGAGACACGGCCCAAACUCCUACGGGAGGCAGCAGUGGGGAAUAUUGGACAAUGGGCGCAAGCCUGAUCCAGCCAUGCCGCGUGAGUGAUGAAGGCCCUAGGGUUGUAAAGCUCUUUUGUGCGGGAAGAUAAUGACGGUACCGCAAGAAUAAGCCCCGGCUAACUUCGUGCCAGCAGCCGCGGUAAUAC